UUCAUUAUAAGAUAAAGAAAAGAGAAUCUCCUUCUGAUGGCUACAAUGAUAAAAGAGUAUUUAAUGAUGGGAUGACAGAAAAUUAUUUGCAUGGGUGAUUUAUUUUUACAGAUCACUGACGAUAUAGAUUCAGCCAUCGAAUCGUCAGAUUCUAUCAUUUGGCCAACAUUAAGAGCAAUAAUCUCGCAGCUAUUCGUCACACCCUA
rnacentral:lncRNA from 1 species